GAUGAACGCUGGCGGCGUGCCUAAUACAUGCAAGUCGAGCGAACGGACGAGAAGCUUGCUUUUCUGAUGUUAGCGGCGGACGGGUGAGUAACACGUGGAUAACCUACCUAUAAGACUGGGAUAACUUCGGGAAACCGGAGCUAAUACCGGAUAAUAUUUUGAACCGCAUGGUUCAAAAGUGAAAGACGGUCUUGCUGUCACUUAUAGAUGGAUCCGCGCUGCAUUAGCUAGUUGGUAGGGUAACGGCUUACCAAGGCAACGAUGCAUAGCCGACCUGAGAGGGUGAUCGGCCACACUGGAACUGAGACACGGUCCAGACUCCUACGGGAGGCAGCAGUAGGGAAUCUUCCGCAAUGGGCGAAAGCCUGACGGAGCAACGCCGCGUGAGUGAUGAAGGUCUUCGGAUCGUAAAACUCUGUUAUUAGGGAAGAACAUAUGUGUAAGUAACUGUGCACAUCUUGACGGUACCUAAUCAGAGAGCCACGGCUAACUACGUG
rnacentral:rRNA from 1 species